GGUGAGAUGGCCGAGCGGUCUAAGGCGCCAGACUAAGGAUCAGAGCAAUUAUUGUUCAUCAUUGGCUAUUCGAAUAUUCGAAUUGUUAUCUGGUCCUCCGGGGCGUGGGUUCGAAUCCCACUCUCAUCA
rfam:Hypholoma sublateritium FD-334 SS-4 unplaced genomic scaffold scaffold_123, whole genome shotgun sequence.